rnacentral:rRNA from 1 species
UACAGAGGGUGCAAGCGUUGUUCGGAAUUACUGGGCGUAAAGCGAGUGUAGGCGGUCUCAUAAGUCGGGUGUGAAAGCCCCGGGCUCAACCCGGGAAGUGCACUCGAAACUGCGAGGCUAGAGUAUCGGAGAGGUUGGUGGAAUUCUCGGUGUAGAGGUGAAAUUCGUAGAUAUUGGGAAGAACACCAGUGGCGAAAGCGGACUUCUGGGUUGUUACUGACGCUGAGGUACGAAAGCGUGGGGAGCAAACGGG